ACACUGCUGUGGAGUCCCACAAUUAGGACGAAACGGCCGUCCAGUAC
rnacentral:hammerhead_ribozyme from 1 species